GAUGAACGCUGACAGAAUGCUUAACACAUGCAAGUCUACUUGAUUCUACGUCGGUAGUUGAUGGUGGCGGACGGGUGAGUAACGCGUAAAGAAUCUGCCCUUUAUUUUGGGAUAACCUUUGGAAACGAAGGCUAAUACCGGAUAUUAUGGAGACGUCUCAUGACGACUCCAUGAAAUCUAUAUGCGCUAGAGGAGGACUUUGCGUCCCAUCAGUUAGUUGGUGAGGUAAUGGCUCACCAAGACCGCGAUGGGUAGCCGGCGUGAGAGGGUGAUCGGCCACAAGGGAACUGAGACACGGUCCUUACUCCUACGGGAGGCAGCAGUGGGGAAUAUUGGACAAUGGGCCACAAGCCUGAUACAGCAAUUCUGUGUGAACGAUGAAGGUCUUCGGAUUGUAAAGUGCUUUCAGUAGGGAAGAAAAAAAUGACGGUACCUACAGAAGAAGCGACGGCUAAAUAUGUGCCAGCAGCCGCGGUAACAC
rnacentral:rRNA from 1 species